rnacentral:rRNA from 1 species
UAGGCUAAAUCCUAAAGCUAUUAGGUGGAUGACUUGGCUCAAAUGCUGAUAAAGGAUGUGGCAAUCUACAGAAUGCUCCGGCGAGAUGCAUGCAAUCUUUGAACCGGAGAUUUCUGAAUGAGACUUCUCAUCUACUCCGUAAGGAGGGGGAACGCAGGGAAUUGAAACGUCUUAGUACCUGCAGGAAAAGAAAUCAAUCGAGAUGCUGCGAGUAACAGCGAGUGAAAACAGCAAAAGGCAAACUGAAUCCUUUAUUGAAAGAUAAAGGAGAUGUGGUGUUAAAAGACUGCCUACAUAAAUCUUAUCUCAGGAACCUAAAGUUAUCUGGAAAGAUAUGCCCUAGAGUGUGAUAGCCACGUAGGGGUAACUGAGAAGGUUUUGGCAGUAUCUUGAAUACUAUCCAUUGGAUAUUGGAUGGGAAUUAAGGAGGCAUCAACUUCUAACCUUAAAUACAAUUUGAGUCCGAUAGCGCAUAGUACAGUGAUGGAACGUUGAAAAGUACCCAUGACAGGAAGUGAAAAGAACCUGAAACCUAAUAGCUAUUGUUGGGUACUGCUCUAAGGAGUUGUACCAUACGUUUCGAAUAACGUGCCAGGGAGUUCAUCUGAGUGGCAAGGGUAAUUCGCAAGAAGUACCCGAAGCGAAAGCAAUAAGCCUGCAAUUUAUGAGAGGCAAGGUAUGAAAAUGCCUGCAGUCACUUGGAUGUAACCCGAAGCCGGACGAUCUAGCCCUUGAUAAGGUGAAGUUCCAGUAAAAUGGAAUGGAGGCCUGUCGAGGUUCUACGAGCAAGUGUUCUUCUAAUCUUGGGCUAGGGGUGAAAAGCCAAUCGAGUCCGGCAAUAGCUGGUUCCUAUCGAAGUUGGCCGUAGUCAAGCCUCAGGAGAGAUGGCUGGAGUAGUAGAGCGACGGGUUGAAGAUUUAGGUCCCGAAAGGGAUCGAUUUUCUGUCCAACUCCGAACAUUCUAGCAUUACAGAUUCUAAGAGACGGGAAGCCGGGGUAAGCCCGGUUUCCGAGAGGGGAACAACCCAGACUAUAGUUAAGGUCC